CCUACGGGUGGCAGCAGUGGGGAAUAUUGCGCAAUGGGCGAAAGCCUGACGCAGCGACGCCGCGUGAGGGAUGAAGGUCUUCGGAUCGUAAACCUCUGUCAGCAGGGAAGAACGGUCACUGUGCUAAUCAGCAGUGAAUUGACGGUACCUGCAAAGGAAGCACCGGCUAACUCCGUGCCAGCAGCCGCGGUAAUACGGAGGAUGCGAGCGUUAUCCGGAUUUAUUGGGUUUAAAGGGUGCGUAGGCGGAAGGUUAAGUCAGCGGUCAAAUGUCGGUGCUCAACACCGGCCUGCCGUUGAAACUGGUCUUCUUGAGUGAGCGAGAAGUAUGCGGAAUGCGUGGUGUAGCGGUGAAAUGCAUAGAUAUCACGCAGAACUCCGAUUGCGAAGGCAGCAUACCGGCGCUCAACUGACGCUGAGGCACGAAAGCGUGGGGAUCGAACAGGAUUAGAUACCCUUGUAGUC
rnacentral:rRNA from 1 species